UUGGGCUCAUUGUCGCGAUCUUCUGUCUCUCUCUUUUUCUCUUCGUUUUUGGCUGGGUUCUUCGCAUGUAGAGGAAAAAUGCCAUGCACAUAUCGUCGAAAGAGACUUGACUGAGCUGGUGAGAUGUUGCAGCUGGGGGUUAUCAAUAAAUUGAUUGAGUUAGGUCUUGAGAUUGUGCAAUGAGGCUAUCAAUUAUAGUAUUUUCCCAGUGGAGUUUAGUAUCAUUCUGUUUGGUAUAGCCAAGUUGCAGCUCCAGCAAAUAGAGUGAAGGCUUGAAGAAUAAGAGAAGCAGCACAAGGUCUGAUGGUCAGGUUGAAGAGAUACUUGGAGAUGAGGGGUGCUGAUGGAGGGCCGGCCUUGGAGAAGCUAGCUUAUGUGCUUUGCUUGCAUUUUGGAAUGUAUUAGACAUGACAGCUCCCUAAACUCCUAAAGAAAGACAGAUGCUGAGAGAGAAGCACGUUCCAGAAACAGGACUAAAGACACCAUUUUGUGAUGCAUGUUGCUGAAGAUGUAAUGAAGUCUGCAUUUUGCAGAGGAGGGCCUGGAAUGAAGAGCCUUUAAGGAAUCAAGUUCUUAAUGAAGUGGUCGAGGUUGUGAGCACCAUUUUGAAGAACCUCCAUUGAUAUGUGGUGACGAACAUCAACACCUCUUUUCAGCAGACAGAUCAAAUGUAGCUAGGUUAGCCUAUUAAGUAGAACAAUAUAUUUUUGAGAAGCUGUGUCAACAGCAGUUGUAUUGUAUAUUUGCACAUUAUCAG
rnacentral:lncRNA from 1 species